AGUUGGGCACUCUAAAGAGACUGCCGGUGACAAACCGGAGGAAGGUGGGGAUGACGUCAAGUCAUCAUGCCCCUUAUGACCUGGGCUACACACGUGCUACAAUGGGCAGUACAACGAGAAGCGAACCCGCGAGGGUAAGCGGAUCUCUUAAAGCUGUUCUCAGUUCGGACUGCAGGCUGCAACUCGCCUGCACGAAGCUGGAAUCGCUAGUAAUCGCGGAUCAGCACGCCGCGGUGAAUACGUUCCCGGGCCUUGUACACACCGCCCGUCACACCAUGGAAGUCUGCAAUGCCCAAAGUCGGUGGGAUAACCUUUAUAGGAGUCAGCCGCCUAAGGCAGGGCAGAUGACUGGGGUGAAGUCGUAACAAGGUAGCCGUAGGAGAACCUGCGGCUGGAUCACCUCCUUUCUAAGGAA
rnacentral:rRNA from 1 species